GCACAAACUCAAUCACUAACUGUGCAUGAUGUUAAAGAAGUGAGGAAAACCAGGUUUGCUAGAAUAAUUGCACCGACAGAACUGUAUUAACUUCAGAUCCUACUGAGUUUACCAAUUCUAUCCAAGUACAUUG